GAUGAACGCUAGCUAUAGGCUUAACACAUGCAAGUCGAGGGGCAGCGAAUAGAUAGCUUGCUAUUUAUGUCGGCGACCGGCGCACGGGUGAGUAACGCGUAUCCAACCUGCCCAUAACUAAGGGAUAACCCAGCGAAAGUUGGACUAAUACCUUAUGUAUUCGUUUGAUCUCAUGAGAUUACGAAUAAAGAUUUAUCGGUUAUGGAUGGGGAUGCGUCUGAUUAGCUUGUUGGCGGGGUAACGGCCCACCAAGGCAACGAUCAGUAGGGGUUCUGAGAGGAAGGUCCCCCACAUUGGAACUGAGACACGGUCCAAACUCCUACGGGAGGCAGCAGUGAGGAAUAUUGGUCAAUGGGCGCAAGUCUGAACCAGCCAAGUAGCGUGCAGGAUGACGGCCCUAUGGGUUGUAAACUGCUUUUAUAUGGGGAUAAAGUGGGGAACGUGUUCCCUUUUGCAGGUACCAUAUGAAUAAGGACCGGCUAAUUCCGUG
rnacentral:rRNA from 1 species